ACGGAGGGAGCGAGCGUUAAUCGGAAUUACUGGGCGUAAAGCGCGCGUAGGCGGCUUUGUAAGUCGGAUGUGAAAGCCCAGGGCUUAACCCUGGAAUUGCAUUCGAUACUGCAUAGCUAGAGUAUGGUAGAGGGAAGUGGAAUUUCCGGUGUAGCGGUGAAAUGCGUAGAUAUCGGAAGGAACACCAGUGGCGAAGGCGACUUCCUGGGCCAAUACUGACGCUGAGGUGCGAAAGCGUGGGGAGCAAACAGG
rnacentral:rRNA from 1 species